UGAACCUGGGAGGCAGAGGUUGCAGUGAGCCGAGAUCACACCAUUGCACUCCAGCCUGGGUGACAGAUUGAGACUCCAUUUUUUUUUUUUUUUUUUUUCUGAGAUGGAGUUUUAACUCUUGUUGCCCAGGCUGGAGUGCAAUGGCGCGACCUUGGCUCAUAGCAAUCUCUGCCUCCCAGGUUCA
rnacentral:pre_miRNA from 2 species